rnacentral:rRNA from 1 species
AUUGAACGCUGGCGGAAUGCUUUACACAUGCAAGUCGAACGGCAGCACGGGGGCAACCCUGGUGGCGAGUGGCGAACGGGUGAGUAAUACAUCGGAACGUGCCCAAUCGUGGGGGAUAACGUAGCGAAAGCUACGCUAAUACCGCAUACGAUCUACGGAUGAAAGCGGGGGAUCGCAAGACCUCGCGCGAAUGGAGCGGCCGAUGGCAGAUUAGGUAGUUGGUGGGGGUAAAGGCUCACCAAGCCGACGAUCUGUAGCUGGUCUGAGAGGACGACCAGCCACACUGGGACUGAGACACGGCCCAGACUCCUACGGGAGGCAGCAGUGGGAAUUUUGGACAAUGGGCGCAAGCCUGAUCCAGCCAUUCCGCGUGCAGGAUGAAGGCC